GACGAACGCUGGCGGCGUGCUUAACACAUGCAAGUCGAGCGGUAAGGCCCUUCGGGUACGACGAGCGGCGAACGGGUGAGUAACACGUGGGUGACCUGCCUCUAGCUCUGGGAUAAGCCUGGGAAACUGGGUCUAAUACCGGAUAUGACUCCACGGCGCAUGUUGUGGGGUGGAAAGCCUUGUGUGGCUAGAGAUGGGCCCGCGGCCUAUCAGCUUGUUGGUGGGGUGGAUGGCCUACCAAGGCGACGACGGGUAGCCGGCCUGAGAGGGCGACCGGCCACACUGGGACUGAGACACGGCCCAGACUCCUACGGGAGGCAGCAGUGGGGAAUCUUGCGCAAUGGGCGAAAGCCUGACGCAGCGACGCCGCGUGAGGGAUGACGGCCU
rnacentral:rRNA from 1 species